rnacentral:rRNA from 1 species
CCUACGGGAGGCAGCAGUAGGGAAUAUUGCUCAAUGGGGGAAACCCUGAAGCAGCAACGCCGCGUGGAGGAUGAAGGUUUUCGGAUUUUAAACUCCUUUUGUUAGAGAAGAUAAUGACGGUAUCUAACGAAUAAGCACCGGCUAACUCCGUGCCAGCAGCCGCGGUAAUACGGAGGGUGCAAGCGUUACUCGGAAUCACUGGGCGUAAAGAGCGCGUAGGCGGGAUAGCAAGUCAGAUGUGAAAUCCUAUGGCUUAACCAUAGAACUGCCUUUGAAACUGUUAUUCUAGAGUAUGGGAGAGGUAGGUGGAAUUCUUGGUGUAGGGGUAAAAUCCGUAGAGAUCAAGAGGAAUACUCAUUGCGAAGGCGACCUGCUAGAACAUAACUGACGCUGAUGCGCGAAAGCGUGGGGAGCAAACAGGAUUAGAUACCCUUGUAGUC